AAUAACUAGUAUUUUCAAAAAAGACCAUAACCAAAGUGCAUGUUAAAAACAAAAAUUUUUUUAUCACAAUUUAAAAUCAAAUAUGUAAUUUACUUUUAUGUCUUUUUCAAAAUUUUUUUAAUAAAUUAUGAAAAAAGGAAAAAAAAGGGAAGAAAGAAGAAAGUGUGCUAGUAAUAUAUACGCCAAUGCUGAGUCGCGUGAAGUAGCAAAAUUCUUAGUUAACAACUUGUUGCCCAAGAAAUAUAAAAGAAUAAAAUUACAAAAAUGGUAAUCAGAACGCCACAAAGGUCACAUGGAAACGAAGGACAGAAAUGUAAAUUAAAAUAUUCAGAUCCUCUGAUAAUUUACAGCUGUCAAAUUAUUAUUGGCUAUUCCUCUAAUAUACUUAAAUUAUUGUUUUUAAGAGUGAAAAAAAGCCAAGAAUUUUUUUUUUUCAAACAAAGGCGUUUGGUUUGGUUUGGUGGCAGCUCAGCUUCCCGUCACCAGAGUCAUCGUCGUGCGGAAGCUGACAAAAAGAUUACCCAAACUUUCAGAAUUUUUCAUAUAAAUUUCUUUGUUACUUCAUUAUCUAAGAGCAAGAACCAACCCUUGUUCAUUUUUGUUCUGCCAAAAAUGAAUGCUUUCGUGGACAAAUUUCAUGCUCAAGACGACGGGUUUUUGGCUGCCUAUGCACCUGCUAAAGCGAUGCCCCAGAAGCUCAUUAUCGAUACUGACCCUGGGAUCGAUGAUAGCAUGGCAAUCUUAAUGGCGUUUCAAUCUCCUGAGUUAGAGAUCUUAGGCUUGACAACAAUAUUUGGUAAUGUCACAACAAAAAAUGCAACACGUAAUGCUUUGCUUCUGUGUGAGAUCGCAGGGUGUCCGGGUCUUCCUGUGGCAGAAGGCAGCCCUGAGCCUCUAAAGGGAGGAGAGCCACGUGUUGCUGACUUUGUUCAUGGUUCUGACGGACUGGGAAACAUUUUUUUACCUUCUCCAACAGCAAAGAAAUUUGAGAAGACUGCUUCUGAAUUUUUAGUUGACAAGGUCUCUGAAUACCCUGGUGAAGUAUCUAUACUUGCACUAGGACCACUGACUAACUUGGCUCUGGCAAUCAAAAGGGACUCCUCCUUUGCAAACAAGGUGAAAAAAUAUAGUUGUACUUGGAGGUGCAUUUUUUGCACUGGGAAAUGUAAAUCCUGCUGCUGAAGGAAAUGUAACUGCUAAUGUGUAUAUCUAUCUGAUCUGUACAAUCGAGCUAUGGAAAUACAUACAUUGUCUGACUUAGCCUACUCCUUCAGUUAGCCUACUCCUUCAGUGGAUCUUUUCCUAGUUGGAUACUUGUUUCUUAAUCUCUUACUACUUUAAAUGUGAUAAGACCCCCACUCAAUAAUGUUGAUAAUGUUUUAUGUUGAUGGAAGGUGUUGCAUUGUAUAAUAGAAGCAACAGUAAUUUGAUAAGCCUCCAAUAUUGUACUUUAACGUUUAGCUUUCUGCAACUUAAGAUCACAUGCUAAAUAAGUUUUAGCUAACUUGAAUAACUGUUUUGCCAACAAAUAUGCUUCAAGUUCAAGUCCAACAUUUUUGGGACUUGCAGAUUUAUGGGGACGCAGAAGCGGCAGAUGUAGUCUUUACAUCUGGAGCAAACAUUGUUGUCGUUGGAAUAAAUAUCACAACCCAAGUUAAAUUUACAGAUGAUGACCUUCUUGAAUUGAGGCAAUCAAAGGGAAAUAUGCUCAAAUAAUAUGUGACAUGUGCAAAUUCUAUAGAGAUUGGCAUGUGAAGUCUGAUGGUGUAUAUGGUAAUUUUCCAUUUCCAUCUUUUAUCAACAUAGAAUUCUUCUUUUCAAGGUUUAUAUUUUGCCUAUUUGUUUGAGCUUUUAUGUAUUUUAGUGAAAUGCUCCUUGAGUUGUUGUUCCAGGGAUUUUUCUUCAUGACCCUGUGAGUUUUGUAGCGCUAGUUUGCCGUGAUCUCUUCACAUAAAAGAAGGGGGUUGUGAGAGUCGAGACACAGGGCAUCGUGUGGGAUAUACACUGAUGGGCCAAGGACUUAAAAUGUAUAUCCAAACCUAGGAUGCUCUUUAAUGUAUUCUAAUUGGUUUUGCUUUUGCUUUCUCCAAUCAUUAUGCUGUAAUUUGAUGCAUUUGUAGUACAAGCACCCUUGGACAGGAUAUGCCCCUAUAGAAGUUGCUUGGGCAGUUGAUGGGGAAGAAGUGCUCAAUUACAUCAGAAAAUUGUUGAUGAAACCGUGAGAAUUAUUCUCCAUCCUGGCUUUUUGAAGAUGCCAGACGCCAAGUAGGAAUGUUGAAGGCCCAUAUGAUCUUUGCCUUCACUUUCUGGUUUGGGCACAAGGGGCCAACAAUUGUUCUAACAAUCAUUUCAAACUCCGAAGCAUGCGUGCAAAAACAUUCUCUUGAUUGAUUUUCAACUAGAUGAAUUCAACAUAGCGAGUUCUGUUGUUUAACCUGUGUACCAGCACUUGGGCUAAAACAAUGGGCAACAAACCACGGUGUUGCAAUGUGGAAGCGUCUCUUAUGUCAACAAUUAAGCACUUAAGCUCGAAGAUCAAGCAACUGUCUUGUAGUACAUGAUGUUAAGGGUUUAACAACUUUGAGGCAUUUGGUUAUUUAACCAUUUUUAGUUUGUUUGCUAUCUUUUCAACUAUCUCUCCAAUUGAUAAUUCAUAAAGCAGAGUCAUAUUAGGUCUUCA
rnacentral:misc_RNA from 1 species